UAAAAAAUUUUGGCGGUAUUUUAAGCUUAUUAGAGGAAUUUGCUCUGUGAUGGACACAACGCCUUAAUCUUACUUAAUUUAGUAAUUUAAAUCAGUUUGUAUACCACUAUAUUAAUUAUAUUGAAUAGUUAUAUUUAAAAUUUUUUAAAAAAAAUAUAUUAAGUCAAGGUGCAUCUAAUAAUUAUGAAUGAAGUGAAUUACAUUAAUUUUAAUGUAAUUUUUUACAUGAAAAAAUUAAUUAGGAUUUAAUAGUAAAAUACUAAUAUUAUGAGUAUUUGAAUCAAGCUCUAAAAUAUGCACAUAUCGCCCGUCGCUCUCAGAAGUGAGAUAAGUCGUAACAAAGUAAAAAUACUGGAAAGUGUUUUUUAAAAUGAAAUCAUUCGAUGUUUCAUUUACAAUGAAAAUUUUGUUGUUUAACCAUUUUAA
rnacentral:rRNA from 1 species